AAGAGCCGCUGAGUGGGGAGGAGAGAGGGACAGAGAGCCUGCUUGCUUUAAAGGAGCAAAGCAGGAGAGGAGAGGAGCCGCUUACACUCGUGUAAGCGGCUCCUGUCCGGUUGGCUCCUUUAAAGCAAGCAGGCUCUCUGUCCCUCUCUCCUCCCCACUCAGCUCGCUACA
rnacentral:miRNA from 1 species